AGAGAAUAUAUUCUAAUCCUUGACUGUGGUUAAGGAGCGUGUAUUUGGAGAACUGUAUGUAGAACCAUAUGGAGACCACGUUUCGAUCCUCGACUGUGGCUGAGGAGCGUGUGUUUAGAGAACAAUAUAAAGAGCACAUUCCGAUCCUCGGCCAUGGUCGAGGAGUGCGUGUUUGGAAAAUCAUAUGGAGAACUGCAUAGAGAAUAUGUUUCAAUCCUUGACC
rnacentral:lncRNA from 1 species